UGUUCUUCUGAUGCUUCUUCCAGCAACAAACCUUCUUAUAUCCUGUGAUUGCCACAUUUGCUAUUAAAGAUGCAACAUGUUUUCUCCAUGAAGACAGAAGACAUCCCUGCAGCUCCAGUCUUGAUUUACUUUUCGAUUCAUGAACAUGUGGUUCGUUCAGCCUUACAGUGCAGCACAGAUGAAUAAUGUAUGAAUAAUUGAUAAAUCUCAUAAAGCGUUUGUCCAUGAAGGGGAUGUUCUGAACCCUAAUUAAGCUGAAGGCCGGGACGUUGUGUUCCUGUCUGUUUGAUGAACAGCACACACUCUCUCUGGCUCUCGUGUGUUCAGAUACACCUUCACUUUACAGGCAGAUGUUCACUGAUGGACUGGAGUGCUGUGGAUUACUUGUGGAUUAUUGUGAUGUUUUUAUCAGCUGUUUGGACUCUCAUUCUGACGGCACCCAUUCACUGCAGAGCAUCCAUUGCUGAGACACUGAUGCAGUGCUACAUUUCUACAAAACUGAUGAAGACACAAACUCAUCCUGUUCUGGGAUGCCCUGAGGAUGAGCACAAUUUCAGCAAAUUUUUGUUUUUGGCUGAAGUAUUCCUUUAAGCAUGUGAGACAUUAGAAACUUGAGUCCAUCCUCCGGAAGGCUUCCAGACUGACCACAGGUCCUGGAUGUCCUGAAACGGGCCGGACACAAGAGCAGAGCUCUGUUUCAGUAACCUAAACCCCAGCAGGAAAUAGCAGCUUGACAUGUUGAAUUUUAAUGCAGCUGCUAUUUUAGUCCUCAGGAGUGUGACCACAUUCGCUGAGGACGAGACGCCCGGCCCUCCAUGAUCUUCAGUGACUCGAGCAUUCAGUGAUCACGAUCACACUGUUACUGAAUGAACUUCUGUGUGUACAGGAAG
ensembl:lncRNA